rnacentral:rRNA from 1 species
GACGAACGCUGGCGGCGUGCUUAACACAUGCAAGUCGAACGCUGAAGCUCAGCUUGCUGGGUGGAUGAGUGGCGAACGGGUGAGUAACACGUGAGUAACCUGCCCUCUUCUUUGGGAUAACGCCCGGAAACGGGUGCUAAUACUGGAUAUUCACUGAUUCUCGCAUGGGGGUUGGUGGAAAGGUUUUUUCUGGUGGGGGAUGGGCUCGCGGCCUAUCAGCUUGUUGGUGGGGUGAUGGCCUACCAAGGCUUUGACGGGUAGCCGGCCUGAGAGGGUGACCGGUCACAUUGGGACUGAGAUACGGCCCAGACUCCUACGGGAGGCAGCAGUGGGGAAUAUUGCACAAUGGGCGAAAGCCUGAUGCAGCGACGCCGCGUGAGGGAUGGAGGCCUGCGGGUUGUAAACCUCUUUCGCUCAUGGUCAAGCCGCAGCUUUGGGUUGUGGUGAGGGUAGUGGGUAAAGAAGCGCCGGCUAACUACGUG